AAAAUGGUCCGUUGAACUAAUAAUAAUGGGCCAGUAAUAAACUCCUUACUGUCGACGGAGGCUUGGGUUUUAGGGUUUUAGCUUUUACUGCAAAUUGUUGUGCUCGCGGAAUUGAUUCGGCAAAAGGAGAUCGAACAAGGGAAGAAGAAGAAGAAGAGGCUGAAACAAUGUUUCCGGGGAUGUUCAUGAGAAAACCUAACAAAGCUGCAUCUUUGAAGCAGCUGAAGGCUCACGUGGGUAUGUUCGGGGCUUGGGUUGUCGCUAUUCGGGUCGCACCAUACAUCCUGCACUACUUCUCCGAUCAAAAGGAGGAGCUCAAGCUCGAAUUAUAGGCCCUUUGAUAGCUUGGAGUUUGGAUUGGGGAAAUGUUCACAUGGAAAGAUAAAACACAAACAAACUUUUCUUCUAAGGUUCCUUUCAACUUCAUUACUCUCUCAUUUCCAAUCUCCAUGUUCCUAUUGAUUCUAAAAAAGAUGCCAAGUUGGCCUGUAUUUAUGGAAAGUGGUGACCUAAUGAAACUUUAUUGGGAUUAGUCUGCAGUCUGCACUGUUUUAUAAUAUAUGUUGAAUAUGGAACAUCAUGUUUAAACAA